AUUGAACGCUGGCGGCAGGCUUAACACAUGCAAGUCGAGCGGGGUGAUGGUGCUUGCACUAUCACUUAGCGGCGGACGGGUGAGUAAUGCUUAGGAAUCUGCCUAUUAGUGGGGGACAACGUCUCGAAAGGGAUGCUAAUACCGCAUACGUCCUACGGGAGAAAGCAGGGGAUUACUUGUGACCUUGCGCUAACAGAUGAGCCUAAGUCGGAUUAGCUAGUUGGUGGGGUAAAGGCCUACCAAGGCGACGAUCUGUAGCGGGUCUGAGAGGAUGAUCCGCCACACUGGGACUGAGACACGGCCCAGACUCCUACGGGAGGCAGCAGUGGGGAAUAUUGGACAAUGGGGGGAACCCUGAUCCAGCCAUGCCGCGUGUGUGAAGAAGGACUUAUGGUUGUAAAGCACUUUAAGCGAGGAGGAGGCUCUUUUGGUUAAUACCCAGAAUGAGUGGACGUUACUCGCAGAAUAAGCACCGGCUAACUCUGUGCCAGCAGCCGCCGUAA
rnacentral:rRNA from 1 species